UUUCUGUUAAUUUAAUCAUGAUUUUUACUUGUUCCUUUUUCAUUUCUUAUUGAGUCCUAAUAUUUAAAAUCUUUGCCUUUUCUUCUAGAUCAAAACUCACCAAUGAAGACUUCAGGAAACUUCUCAUGACCCCCAGGGCUGCACCUACCUCUGCACCACCUUCUAAGUCACGUCACCAUGAGUAAGUCUUUGGGUGAUCCAACCUGUCUCCCAACUUGUUUCUUGCUCCUUCCUAUUUCUUUCUACUAAGUAGAAUGACUUUUAAUAGUCCCUCAGGUAUUUAUGAUACUCUCUAAAGUUUGAGAACUGCCCACCUACAAAUAUUGGUGUGGAUUUCUGCUUGAUUGAAAGUGUUACUUUGAUCAGUAUUCUAGGUCUUUCUAAAA
rnacentral:lncRNA from 1 species